rnacentral:rRNA from 1 species
GACGAACCGUGCGAACGUUGUUCGGAAUCACUGGGCUUAAAGGGCGCGUAGGCGGGCUCUCAAGUCAGGGGUGAAAUCCCACGGCUCAACCGUGGAAGUGCCCUUGAUACUGGUGGCCUCGAGGGAGGCAGGGGCGUGCGGAACUUUGGGUGGAGCGGUGAAAUGCGUAGAGAUGGGGGAGAACACUCGUGGCGAAGGCGGCCAGCUAGACCAGUUCUGACACUGAGGCGCGACAGCGUGGGGAGCAAACAGG